GAGUCAUCUCAAGCAAACAUAUUCUUAAGUGAAAUCUAUAUAAAGUUUACAUAGCAAUACUCAUCUCCUUCUUCUACCAUCUCAAAUUUCUGAAAAACAAAAACAUAGAAUCUCAUCAUAUUAGAAAUCCCCAAUAGCUAGAGUUUGAAGAAAUUCAAUCUACACUUCUUGAAUAAUCUAAUUUCUUGAGCAAGUGAAAGUUAAUUGGAAUUGUUUUGGAAAUUAGAGAAUUAUGGGAUUGAAGAAAUCAAGUAAAACCUCAUUUUCAUCCUCUUUUGGUAAUAGUUCUUUUGGUAGAAGCUCUUUUUGGUUGGAUUAGUGAAGUAGAUCUUUGAUUUUGGGUGGAUUACAAAGUGUUGAGAAGAAUUUUCUCAAAGAUCCAUUUUCAGGUUAGCUCUACGGUGGAAAGGAUGCCUACAUGUAUUAUGUGUUACGAGCGAGGACUUCUUUUGGAAAUACAUUUUGUAAAUAGUUAUUCGUAAAUUAAAUUGUAAUAAUUUCAUAGUAUUUUGUAAAUAGUAUUGUAAAAAGUUUUAAAUAACUUUGAUAUUUGUUUGUUGUGAUCAUCGAAUCACAGGUCGGAUUCAGUCCAGACCACUAUAAGUUUUUCGCUAUGUUGUAGACAGUAUUAUUAUACUAUUUAUGUUAGUUUAGGCUGUUUUAGUAGCAUCGAACUUUCAUGAAACGCUAAUAAUAACACUUUUGUAAGAUUUUUUCACAUGGUAGCAUC